GACGAACGCUGGCGGCGUGCCUAAUACAUGCAAGUUGAGCGCUGAAGGUUGGUACUUGUACCAACUGGAUGAGCAGCGAACGGGUGAGUAACGCGUGGGGAAUCUGCCUUUGGGCGGGGGACAACAUUUGGAAACGAAUGCUAAUACCGCAUAAAAACUUUAAACACAAGUUUUAAGUUUGAAAGAUGCAAUUGCAUCACUCAAAGAUGAUCCCGCGUUGUAUUAGCUAGUUGGUGAGGUAAAGGCUCACCAAGGCGAUGAUACAUAGCCGACCUGAGAGGGUGAUCGGCCACAUUGGGACUGAGACACGGCCCAAACUCCUACGGGAGGCAGCAGUAGGGAAUCUUCGGCAAUGGACGAAAGUCUGACCGAGCAACGCCGCGUGAGUGAAGAAGGUUGUCGGAUCGUAAAACUCUGUUGGAAGAGAAGAACGUUGGUGAGAGUGGAAAGCUCAUCAAGUGACGGUAACUACCCAGAAAGGGACGGCUAACUACGUG
rnacentral:rRNA from 1 species